UAUCCGGAUUUAUUGGGUUUAAAGGGUGCGUAGGCGGUUUGAUAAGUUAGAGGUGAAAUUUCGGGGCUCAACCCUGAACGUGCCUCUAAUACUGUUGAGCUAGAGAGUAGUUGCGGUAGGCGGAAUGUAUGGUGUAGCGGUGAAAUGCUUAGAGAUCAUACAGAACACCGAUUGCGAAGGCAGCUUACCAAACUAUAUCUGACGUUGAGGCACGAAAGCGUGGGGAGCAAACAGGAUUAGAUACCCUGGUAGUCCACGCAGUAAACGAUGAUAACUCGUUGUCGGCGAUACACAGUCGGUGACUAAGCGAAAGCGAUAAGUUAUCCACCUGGGGAGUACGUUCGCAAGAAUGAAACUCAAAGGAAUUGACGGGGGCCCGCACAAGCGGAGGAACAUGUGGUUUAAUUCGAUGAUACGCGAGGAACCUUACCCGGGCUUGAAAGUUAGCGACGAUUCUUGAAAGAGGAUUUCCCUUCGGGGCGCGAAACUAGGUGCUGCAUGGUUGUCGUCAGCUCGUGCCGUGAGGUGUCGGGUUAAGUCCCAUAACGAGCGCAACCCCUACCGUUAGUUGCCAUCAGGUGAAGCUGGGCACUCUGGCGGGACUGCCAGGUGUAACCGAGAGGAAGGUGGGGAUGACGUCAAAUCAGCACGGCCCUUACGUCCGGGGCUACACACGUGUUACAAUGGUAGGUACAGAGGGCAGCUACCCAGCGAUGGGAUGCGAAUCUCGAAAGCCUAUCUCAGUUCGGAUUGGAGGCUGAAACCCGCCUCCAUGAAGUUGGAUUCGCUAGUAAUCGCGCAUCAGCCAUGGCGCGGUGAA
rnacentral:rRNA from 1 species